GACGAACGCUGGCGGCGUGCUUAACGCAUGCAAGUCGAACGGAAAGGCCCUGCUUUUGUGGGGUGCUCGAGUGGCGAACGGGUGAGUAACACGUGAGUAACCUGCCCUUGACUUUGGGAUAACUUCAGGAAACUGGGGCUAAUACCGGAUAGGAGCUCCUGCUGCAUGGUGGGGGUUGGAAAGUUUCGGCGGUUGGGGAUGGACUCGCGGCUUAUCAGCUUGUUGGUGGGGUAGUGGCUUACCAAGGCUUUGACGGGUAGCCGGCCUGAGAGGGUGACCGGCCACAUUGGGACUGAGAUACGGCCCAGACUCCUACGGGAGGCAGCAGUGGGGAAUAUUGCACAAUGGGCGGAAGCCUGAUGCAGCAACGCCGCGUGCGGGAUGACGGCCUGCGGGUUGUAAACCGCUUUCGCCUGUGACGAAGCGUGAGUGACGGUAAUGGGUAAAGAAGCACCGGCUAACUACGUG
rnacentral:rRNA from 1 species